GAGAGAAAGAGAGAAAGUAAUUAACAAGGAAACACAGAAAUAUCCUCUUCCGAUUUGGGUAACGUAACGAGGGAGCUACGAAACAUUUCAGCAACGAAUUUCCAACAUGCUUUGGAGCGGCUAGUGGAGUGCACCGAACGAUGUAUAGCUUUAUAAGAAUGUGUUACGUUCUGGAGGAGGAACGUAACUUGACGCUCGCUUUCACAAGCUCCGAUGUACUCGCAAGUCUGCGGUGCAGGUCAAGGAUCGGAAUGACCCCUUUAUCUGGCGCGGACGUACGUCGGUGGUCCUUUAUUUAGGCCAAGG